GACAGAGGUGCCAAGCGUUAGGCGGAAUCACUGGGCUUAAAGCGUGUGUAGGCGGAAUUGUAAGUACCUUGUGAAAUCCCACGGCUCAACCGUGGAACUGCUCGGUAUACUGCUUUUCUUGAGCCACUUAGGGGCUGUCGGAACAAACGGUGGAGCGGUGAAAUGCGUAGAUAUCGUUUGGAACGCCAAUGGUGAAAACAGACAGCUGGGAGUGUGCUGACGCUGAGACACG
rnacentral:rRNA from 1 species